AUGGAGGAAUUGCAAGCAUUGGACUACGUCCGGGCAGCAGCGUUCGCCGGCCUGCUGGUUUGGACCCUUGCAGAGCUUGUGAAACGGAGGAACAGGCACCAAGCAGCAGCAGCAGCAGCAGGGCAUGGCGGCGACGUGGUCUCGGCGCAGCGAGGAGGGGCAGCCAGUAUAGUUGCAUUCUGCAAUGCUUCGAUCACGCUGUCCCAUAUCGUGUUCUCGGUUCUUGGGGUCUGGAAGCGGCAAGCCGUCUCCCCGGGCCUGGUAUUUCAAUCUUCCUCGUGGCUUCUGGCUACUCUCUUCCUGCUCUACUGCAAGCAUGAAGGUGCUGCAGUAGUAGUAUCAUCCAACUGGCCUCCAGUUCUUGUUGCUUGGUGGUUCUUCAGCUUCCUAUCGGAAUCGCUCCUCGCCUCGCUGCAUUUGCUUUGCCUCUUUGAUUCUGCAACUGUCGUCGUUGAUUUCGCUUCUCUUCCCUUCUGCACUGGUAUCUGCCUGGUUGUCGUAGCUAUGAGGCUUUCCAAAGCAAACCAGAAAGAGCUGGACCAGCCACUACUGCAUAGAGAAGAUGCUGAUGACAGCAGCAGGGACAGGUUCUCUAGCUCGGGGUGGUGGAGUCGGCUCACAUUCCGGUGGCUGAACCCAGUGUUCGAGAAGGGGCACAAGGUGAGGCUCGAGCUGGAACACAUCCCGUCUGUGCCGCAGUCCGAGACGGCAGAGCAGUCGUAUGCCUUGCUUCAAGAGACACUCCACAAGCAGAAACCUGAGCCAAUGCCACUGCGGGAAGCCAUCAUUUGUGCUGUCUGGACACCUCUGGUCACCAAUGCAGUCUUUGCAGGGCUCAACACUGUUUCUUCUUAUAUGGGACCGUUCUUGAUCACCUACUUGGUGGAGCUACUCUCUGACAAGAAAACUGACAAGGGCCAUGGCCGUGGAUACAUGCUUGCAUGCCUCUUCUUUGCCUCCAAGACAGUGGAGUCACUCUCACAGCGGCAGUGGUACUUUGGCGCCCGCAGAAUUGGAUUCCAGGUGCGGGCAGCACUGAUGGUGUCCAUCUACAAGAAGUCCCUGCUGAUGAAGAACUCGGGCCCAGUUGCAGGGAAAGUUGUGAACUUCCUUGAUGUUGACGUCGAGAAGGUUGGUGAGUUCUUCUGGUACAUCCAUGGGAUUUGGUUGCUGCCCUUGCAAAUUUUCUUGGCACUUGCGAUCCUGUACCAUAGUCUCGGUGCAAUGGCCUCGCUGUCUGCAGUCCUCGUAACAGUGCUGGUGAUGGUGAGCAACACACCACUGGCAAAUUCGCAGCAGAACCUUAAUAUGAAGAUAAUGGAGGCGAAGGACUCGCGCAUCAAGGCUAUGGCCGAGGCAAUGAAGAGCAUGAGGAUCUUGAAGCUUCAUGCAUGGGAGACAGCCUACUUGGACAAGCUCCUGAAGCUCAGGGAUGUGGAAAAGGGGUGGCUCAGGAAGUAUCUCUACAAGUGCUCAGCGAUAGCUUUCCUGUUCUGGGCCUCACCAACGUUGGUUUCGGUCGUUACCUUCGGUGUCUGCAUUCUUGUGGAGAUACCAUUGGCAGCUGGAACAGUUUUAUCGGCCCUUGCCACGUUCAGAAUCCUCCAAGACCCGAUCUAUAACCUCCCAGAGCUUGUGUCAAUGGUCACACAAACCAAGGUGUCCUUGGAUAGAAUAGAAGAGUUCAUCAAAGAAGACCACCAGGGUAAGCCAAGUUGCUAUGGCAACAUAACUGGAACAAAGGACUUGGCAAUGGCUGGUGAAAUAGUAAUUGAACCAGGAGAGUACAGUUGGGAAGCUGAUACUAGCUCGAAGAAAACAAAGGUAACACUCAAGAUCAACAGCAAGGUGAGCAUCGGGAAGGGUCUCAAGGUUGCAGUGUGUGGGCCAGUUGGUUCAGGCAAAUCAAGCCUCCUUUACAGCAUCAUGGGAGAGAUUCCAAGGGUUAGCGGUGCAGAACCAACGGUUGUCGGAUCAAGGGCAUAUGUCCCUCAGAGUGCGUGGAUUCAAACUGGGACAAUUCAGGACAAUGUGCUCUUUGGGAAGGCUAUGGACAGAAGCUUAUACGAAGAGGUGCUACAAGGGUGUGCCUUGGAUAGAGAUUUGGAGUUAUGGGCCAAUGGAGAUAUGACUGUAGUAGGGGAAAGGGGUGUGAACCUAAGUGGAGGCCAGAAGCAGAGGAUCCAGCUUGCCAGGGCAUUGUACAGCGAUUCUGAUGUUUACUUCUUGGAUGACCCCUUCAGUGCUGUGGAUGCGCACACCAGCGCACAUCUCUUCAAGGAAUGCUUACUGAGACUAAUGUCCUCUAAGACAGUCAUGUAUGUUACCCAUCAGCUAGAGUUCUUGCGAGACUCAGAUCUUGUUCUGGUCAUGAAAGAUGGAAGGAUCGUUCAGUCUGGGAGAUAUGAUGAUCUGAUAGCUGAGAAAGAUGGAGAGCUCUCCAAGCAAAUGGCUGCACAUGAUCAAUCCCUUAGCCAGGUCAACCCAGCAAAAGCACAUGGCUUGGCCAAAACCAAACAACAGAAGAAGCAGAUAGAGGCCACAGAAAUAGAAUCAGAUGGCCAUGUCAUAGGGAGGGAAUGUGAAGAAGAGCGUGAAUCUGGAAGAGUCAAAUGGGAUGUUUACCGCAAGUUUGUCACCUCUGCAUACGGCGGAGGUCUCAUCCCUGUGGUUCUUCUAUGCCAAAUCUUUUUCCAGGGAUUGCAGAUAUGUAGCAACUACUGGAUUGCAUGGGCAGCAGAGAGAGAAGAUCAAGUAAGCAAGAAGAAGAUGAUUGGUAUAUUUGUGCUGUUGUCUGCAGGAAGCUCGGUAUUUAUAUUGGGAAGAGCUGUCUUCCUUUCAACAAUUGCCAUUGAAACUGCCCAACAGCUCUUCUUAGGCAUGAACAGAAAUAUUUUUCGAGCACCAAUGAGCUUCUUUGAUUCCACUCCAUCAAGUCGGAUACUCAAUAGGGCUUCAACAGAUCAAGCCACAGUUGACACAGAUAUUCCCUACAGGCUAGCAGGGCUGAUAUUCGCGAUGAUUCAGCUCCUCAGCAUUAUUUUCAUCAUGUCCCAAAUUGCUUGGCCUAUAUUCAUGUUAUUCAUAAUUAUAAUUGCAAUCUCCACUUGGUAUCAGAACUAUUACAUCAGUUCGGCUAGAGAGCUAGCAAGGAUGGUUGGCAUCAGAAAAGCUCCAGUCCUCCACCAUUUUUCAGAGACUGUAUCAGGAGCUGCAACUAUUAGAUGCUUUAAUCAGGGAGAGGAGUUCUUGACAAAGAGUCUUGCGCUAAUUGAUGACUAUACCCGCAUUACUUUCCAUAAUUCAGCGACAGUUGAAUGGCUAUGCAUCCGUAUCAACUUCCUCUUCAACCUUGUGUUUUUCGUGAUGCUAGUCAUACUUGUCUCCUUGCCAUGGGAUACAAUCGAUCCAAGUCUUGCAGGGCUUGCAGCUACCUAUGGCCUUAACCUUAAUGUGUUACAAGCAUGGGUUAUAUGGAAUUUGUGCAAUGUCGAAAACAAGAUGAUCUCUGUAGAGAGGAUUUUCCAGUUCUCAAACAUACCGAGUGAAUCUCCUUUAGUGAUUGAGAACUGUAGACCAAGGGAAACAUGGCCAUCGUGCGGAACUAUUCAGAUCGAGGCUCUCCAAAUUCAGUACAGCCCUGACAUGCCCAUGGUUCUCAAGGGCAUAAGCUGCACAUUUCCUGGAGAAAGGAAAAUUGGGGUGGUAGGGCGGACAGGGAGUGGGAAGUCUACUCUCAUCCAGGCCUUGUUUCGGGUCGUUGAACCAUCUGCAGGACGGAUAUUCAUAGAUGGAGUGGACAUAUCACUUUUGGGAGUGCAUGAUUUGCGGUGUAGAUUGAGUAUUAUACCACAAGAACCAACUCUCUUCCAAGGGACUGUCAGAACAAACCUGGAUCCUCUACAACAACAUCUGGACACUGAAAUAUGGGAGGUUCUGCGUAAGUGCCGCCUUGAGGAGAUUGUCAGAGAAGACAAUAGGUUGUUAGAUGCACCAGUUUAUCUAACAGUAGUUGAAGAUGGCGGAAACUGGAGUGUGGGGCAAAGGCAACUUGUGUGCUUGGCCAGGGUAUUGCUGAUGAAAAAGAAAAUACUUGUUUUAGAUGAAGCUACAGCAUCAGUUGAUACUGCGACGGAUAAUAUCAUCCAAAAGACUAUAAGGCAAGAAACGGACAACUGCACGGUUAUUACAAUUGCACAUAGGAUCCCCACCGUGAUUGACAGCGACCUUGUUCUUGUACUCGGAGAAGGCAGGAUACUAGAGUUUGAUUCACCGGAAAAUCUACUUCGGGAUGAAUCAUCAGCUUUCUCAAAGCUGGUGAUGGAAUUCAUGGGAAGGUCAGAGGGCCGACAUCAACCAGAGCCAAUGUAG
rnacentral:rRNA from 1 species